CUGCAACUCGACUACAUGAAGCUGGAAUCGCUAGUAAUCGUAGAUCAGCAUGCUACGGUGAAUACGUUCCCGGGUCUUGUACACACCGCCCGUCACACCACGAGAGUUUGUAACACCCGAAGCCGGUGGAGUAACCUUUUAGGAGCUAGCCGUCGAAGGUGGGACAAAUGAUUGGGGUGAAGUCGUAACAAGGUAGCCGUAUCGGAAGGUGCGGCUGGAUCACCUCCUUUCUAAGGA
rnacentral:rRNA from 1 species